rnacentral:rRNA from 1 species
UACGGAGGGGGCUAGCGUUGUUCAGAAUUACUAAACGUAAAGCGCACGUAGGCGGCUUUGUAAGUUAGAGGUGAAAGCCCGGAGCUCAACCCCAGAACUACCUUUAAGACUGCAUCGCUAGAACGUCGGAGAGGUAAGUAGAAUUCCGAAUGUAGAGGUGAAAUUCAUAGAUAUUCAGAAGAACACCAGUGGCGAAGGCGACUUACUGGACGACUGUUGACGCUGAGGUGCGAAAGCGUGGGGAGCAAACAGG